rnacentral:rRNA from 1 species
GACAGAGGAGGCUAGCGUUGUUCGGAAUCACUGGGCUUAAAGCGCGUGUAGGCGGCGGAGCAAGUGUCGUGUGAAAUCCCAGGGCUCAACCUUGGAACUGCACGGCAAACUACUUCGCUUGAGGUUGGUAGAGGUGCCUGGAACUCUCGGUGGAGCGGUGAAAUGCGUUGAUAUCGAGAGGAACGCCAGAAGCGAAAGCGGGGCACUGGGCCAAUUCUGACGCUGAGACGCGAAAGCGUGGGGAG